UACAGAGGUCCCAAGCGUUGUUCGGAUUCACUGGGCGUAAAGGGUGCGUAGGUGGUGAGGUAAGUCGGAUGUGAAAUCUCCGAGCUCAACUCGGAAAUGGCAUUGGAAACUACCUUGCUCGAGGGUUGGAAGGGGGACUGGAAUACUUGGUGUAGCAGUGAAAUGCGUAGAUAUCAAGUGGAACACCAGUGGCGAAGGCGAGUCCCUGGACAACUCCUGACACUGAGGCACGAAAGCUAGGGGAGCAAACAGG
rnacentral:rRNA from 1 species